rnacentral:rRNA from 1 species
AACGAGACCUUAACCUGCUAUUUAGUCGCUCGGUCUCUGUCCGUGCGCACUUCAUAGAGGGACUCUGCGGCGUCAAGCUGCGGUGAGGUUUAAGGCAAUAACAGGUCUGUGAUGCCCUUAGAUGUCCUGGGCUGCACGCGCGCUACACUGAUGCUUGCCUCGUGUUUACCCUCGGCCGAUAGCCCUGGUAACCCCUAGUCUGCAUCGUGUUUGGGAUUGAUCUUUGCAAUUCUAGAUCAUGAACGAGGAAUGCCUAGUAUGCGCAAGUCAUCAGCUUGUGCAGAUUACGUCCCUGCCCUUUGUACACA